GGCUUUACACGACUACGCGGCGGAGUUCACCGACCUGGUGGUGAAGCACCUGAUUGAGCACAGUGACUCUGGGGACACGUCUGUGGUGGAGACCCUUUACUGCAGGGCCUGCGAGCUGCCCGUGCGCGUGCGGAGGGACCGCAUCCUGGAACACCUGUCCUCGGGCAGGCAGCACGGCCUGCGGACGCCCAUUCUCAUGUAAAUGUCAGUGCCAACGCUGGUGUUUCAGGAGUCAUCCCAGCGGGCUGCGGGCUAUUUUAGGAUUCUCUGCCCUGCAAACGUUUCCAAACUCAGCCGCCUCGGAUCUCGCUGCCACCAGCCUUACUGCACACCCGUGCCACCCGCCCUUGCCCCGUCAGCCUCAGCCUCAGCUCAUUCUCUCAGGCAGUCCCAGCAUUGGCACGGUACCUCCUCCCGCUGUGGGCCACACGUCUCUGCUCCCUGUCAACCCUCCUGCCAUCAGCACCACCACCAGCGACUUGUCUGCCCGGGAGGAUGCAACACCAUCUGCCUCCACCGGCCACCUUUCAGUGUUUCCUGCUUUCCAAGUAAAGAUACCAGCAGUGCCCUCAGAGCAGACCAGCCAGAGUUUUUCUGAAGCCUCCCACAGGGUGCUCCCCGGAGGAGGCCCGAGAUGCUCUCGUGACUUUGGAGCCGGGGUGGCUGGCCACCUUGGCCUGGGCAUCUUUGGGGUGGGCUUCGGGAGCCCGGCACUGCUGCAGAGUGUGGUGGAUGAGAACAGCUGCUGCUUGCUGUACGUGGUGGAGGACCAGCUGUGUGAUGUGGAGCAAGCCUUCAGAGCUGAGCAUUUGGGCCAACACCAGAGUGGUUCGGGAACAGGAUGCAGACAUUGUCCUCAACGACCAGCGGCACUUUGAUCCGGUUUUCCAGUUCUUGCACAAGCAAGUUUGUGUCAGCCACGCCCUGGGGAGGAUCCACUGGAUCACCGCCGUCACUGCCUGUUCCCGGCGGCCUCUCCGGCUUCCCUAAAGAGAGCAGGUGGGACUUUCUACAACGCUGCUGUGCACGACGUGGAUGCCGUAUGCAUGUUGCUGGGGGAAGCCACUCCGGACACUGUGUUUUCUCUGGGACAUGUCUUCUGCCCAGAUAUGGCCGCCUUAAAAGAUGCAGAUGCUGUUGUGAUCAGCAUGAAGUUUCCCUGUGAGGCCGUGGUUAGCGUGGACAUCAGCCAGCACUGCACAGACAGCUGCGACCAGGACGUCAGCCAGCACUGCACAGACAGCUGCGACCAGAGACUGGAGGGAAAUAACCUCCUGAAAUCACCAAAGAGCAGUUCCUCAGGGCCUUCCGGGUGACCGUGGCCGUGGAGCAGUCGUGGUGAAACCGGUCAGCUGUGGACCUGCCCUGCGAAUCGGCAGAGGCCUCCGUGGUGAAGACAGAAGCUCCGUGAACCAACUCGAGGCUGGAGCCAAGAUCCUGCCUGAUAUCCAGUUGCCUGUUUCACUUGUUACUGUUACUGGGAGAGGGAGACAAAACCUCAUGGCAAUCUUGUCCUCACUGGAGACUCAGAAGGGGAAGCAUUGGGAAACCAUGUAUGUUUCAUUUCUGGUUUAACCAGGCUUUUCAGGAUGGGACUUCAGACCAAGGACACAAGUUGGGCUUGCUUAGGUGUUUUGUGUUGUGCGCAGGCCUCAGAGAUGCUCUUCCGGUCAGAGUUCCCUUGGCAGGGCCUUGGAGGCCUCUGGUUGGCUCUCUCAGGAAGAGGGCAGGUCAGGGAUUGGGCGGUGUAAAUUGACUCAGAAACCUGCGGUUUCAGCUUUUCUGUGGCAAACAGGGCCGAGGGCUGGUGAAGCUGUUAAGGCUAAAUGUCGCAUGCAUGAGGCGGGCUGCAGGCCUCCUUAGGCCUUUUUUGGGGUAAUUACACCAGUAUUUAAAAACAUUUUUUUUUGUUUGUUUUGAGAUGGAGUCUUGCCCUGUCACCCAGGCUGGAGUGCAAUGGUGCGAUCUCGGCUCACUGCAACCUCCGUCUCCCAGGUUCAAGCGAUUCUUCUGCCUCAGCCUUCUGAGUAGCUGGGAUUACACGCGUGUGCCACCACGCUCGGCUAAUUUUUGUAUUUUUAGUAGAGAUGGGAUUUCACCAUGUUGGCCAGGCUGGUCUCGAACUACUGACCUCGUGAUCCACCUGCCAUGGCCUCCCAAAGUGCUGGGAUUACAGGCGUGAGCCACCAUGCUCGGCCUAAAAAACAAUUUUCUUGAAGAAUCCGAUUUUGUGCAUAGUAAUGACACAGCACCAUUCCUGAGAAAUAGGAAAUAUAUGUGUGUGGUAUGAAAAGCCCAUAUUCUGUUCUUGUCACCUGAAUCUAGGCUUCCUCUUUGGAUGUGAACGCGGGAAUGAACAGUGGCUGUUUUCCACCCAAAGGGGCGUGGAGACCUUUUGGAAACGGGCUUUCUCCUUUCCAUUUUGCAGCCGGGGGCGGGUGGAAACCUUCCUUCGAAGGGUAGUGCCUUGGGGAGCAGCAGACCUGCUCUGAGUCCAGCUUAGCUUUCCAAAAUUCUGUGUGGAACUUACUGGAGAUGUUUUUAUAUAUUUGAAAAUAAUGGCC
ensembl:lncRNA GFOD3P Gfo/Idh/MocA-like oxidoreductase domain containing 3, pseudogene